rnacentral:rRNA from 1 species
GAUGAACGCUGGCGGCGUGCCUCAAACAUGCAAGUCGAGCGAGGCUAUGAGUUACCGCAAGGUAAGGCAUAGCCUAGCGGCGAACGGGUGAGUAACACGUGGGUAACCUACCUGGAAGACAGGGAUAACGAUUCGAAAGGGUCGCUAAUACCUGAUAAUAUCCAUCUGCCGGAUGGCGGAGGGAAGAAAGGGGAAACCCGCUUUCAGAUGGGCCCGCGUCCCAUCAGCUAGUUGGUAAGGUAAAGGCUUACCAAGGCGACGACGGGUAGCCGGUCUGAGAGGAUGUACGGCCACACUGGGACUGAGAUACGGCCCAGACUCCUACGGGAGGCAGCAGUUGGGAAUCUUAGGCAAUGGACGAAAGUCUGACCUAGCGACGCCGCGUGAGGGAAGAAGGCCUUCGGGUUGUAAACCUCUGUCAUGGGGAAGAAGGAAGUGACGGUACCCCAAGAGGAAGCCCCUGCUAACUACGUGCCAGCAGCCGCGGUAACACGAGAGUA